CCUACGGGUGGCAGCAGUCGAGAAUCAUUCACAAUGGGGGAAACCCUGAAGGUGCGACGCCGCGUGGGGGAAUGAAGGUCUUCGGAUUGUAAACCCCUGUCAUGUGGGAGCAAAUUAAAAAGAUAGUACCCCAAGAGGAAGAGACGGCUAACUCUGUGCCAGCAGCCGCGGUAAUACAGAGGUCUCAAGCGUUGUUCGGAAUCACUGGGCGUAAAGCGUGCGUAGGCUGUUUCGUAAGUCGUGUGUGAAAGGCGCGGGCUCAACCCGCGGACGGCACAUGAUACUGCGAGACUAGAGUAAUGGAGGGGGAACCGGAAUUCUCGGUGUAGCAGUGAAAUGCGUAGAUAUCGAGAGGAACACUCGUGGCGAAGGCGGGUUCCUGGACAUUAACUGACGCUGAGGCACGAAGGCCAGGGGAGCGAAAGGGAUUAGAUACCCUAGUAGUC
rnacentral:rRNA from 1 species